GGGGCAAGGGAUGUAACUCUGAAAAGGUCCUGGGUUCAAUUUCCAGGACCGUAAAACAAAGCACCUGUCAGUUCUAUAUACAGCAUUUGGAACAUAUUGCCUACUAAGAAAGAAUCAAGAAUCAAUGAACCUGGGGAUUCUGACCUGGGGAUGGGGUGGAAGGGAGGUGAGAUAAAGGCAUCAGGGUGAGCUGUAGAUCACUUUACUCUGGGGAUCUGCACCGCAAGGGAAAGCAGAGCUCCAAGCCAAGAGACGCGGCCUGUCCUGGCUCCGGGCGAGGGUGAGGGCGAGUGGCAGAGUCAAUCGCGUUCCACAACCCACCACCGAGGAGGCUCAGCUCUGGACGGCGGCCAGCCCGGGUCUCAGGUCUAAGCCGCCGUCUCCUCUCCAAUCCAAACAGAACCGCCUGGGUGACAUCCAGAGCUCCGCAGACUUCCGGGGCGACCGAGGGAGGGGGUGGCCCUGUCCCGCCCACACAAGGGUGGUGGCUGGGGCUCUCCGGCAGAGCAGGGAGAGGGAGCGAGGCCCUGGGAGGCAGUCCCGGCCCAGAAGACCCAAAGGCAGGCGGCCUCACCCCGCACCUGGAGCUUCACCGUAGUGACUUGCCCCUCCCCCUCCCCCUGGGGCUCCCCUCCCUCAGGGGCCCCCUUCCGGCCUCCCCGAAACAAAACCCUGGUUCUAUGGCCUAGCCACAACUCAACACCUUCCUCCAGGGAGCCCCUGGCCCUGCCUUCACCACCCCCACCAGGGGGCAGGGCCUGGCAUCAUCCCUUUCAUCAAGGGAUGGCAGAGGGCCAGCUCGAAAACUGGGGAGACUCGAUGCUUUCUGGGAUGACGCGUAGAAGAAGCACAGAGCUCCAACUCCAGAGCCGAGGGAAAAGGUUUGGAUUGUACACCCUCCUCUUAGCAGGAACUUGGAUAAAGUAUCUUAUCUCUCUGAACCUUGUUUUCUUUCUUUCUCUUUCUGAAGGGGAAGACAGGAAGGACACCUUCCUCGCAGGGCCAACAUGAGGCAGAAAUGAAGCCAUGCAGUCCUAGCACCUGGCUUGGGGGCCGAUACGUAGUAAAAAUGAACAGUAAAGGUGAGUUAUGUGUCUGUGUUACUUUUAUACACAGGAAGAGGAAAUAUCCUUAAAAAUUUUUUUGAACAACUUUGCUUAAAAUUCACCAUUUGUGGGGCCACAGGUUUAGCUCAGUGGUGCUGUGCCUGCCUCACAAGCACAAGGUCCUGAGUUUGAAUUCCAGUACUGCCACAAAAAAUUGCAUUAAAGGGCACUUAGAAAACAAGAAAGUCUCCAGAAAAGUCAGCGUCACUGAAAGAGGCUGAAAUCACAAUGGCCCAUAAAGCAAGUCAGGUUUUAGAUGUGACAACAUUCAAAUGAAAAAUGUUACAAGGGAAGGGUGGCAAACAAGGAGCCAGGACCAUGAGAAAUACAAAGCCGAUGAGAGAAUGCAGAUUUUUUUUUCUUUUGGUCCUGGGGAAUUGAACUCAGGGCCUUAGGAACAUGUAAAUUCUUGACCUACAACUGAGCCGAGCCACACCCCCAGGCUUAGAUGUUUUUUGAAGAAAACAAACGCCACAAAACUGGCUAGGUCAGACCACAGGAUAACUGAUCAAACUACAAAGCAACAAGCAUAAGAAAAGUAAACAAACCAGAAAAUAGGAGGGAAAACCUGUGGUUGCAUAAGCAGGGAUGUUUGGCCUGGGUAGGGUAUCAGAAGGGCCCCGGGCUUUCACAGGGUGACUGGGGAGAGUGGGAAACGGCCUGGGGCAGAAAUUGGCCCCAAGUUACACAAAGGUCUUUGAGGAUCCAGGCCAAGGGCCAUCCCCAGGAAGCUCUGAAAGGCAGAUGUUUACAGUCACAGGUGCCCAAGAGAAGGACCACGUGCCUGCCAGUGAUUGGGGCAGAGCUGGGAUCCUGGGUCUCCUCACGUGCACUUGAGGCGGUUCUGACCUUUCCA
ensembl:lincRNA